rnacentral:rRNA from 1 species
UAGGGAAUCUUCCGCAAUGGGCGAAAGCCUGACGGAGCAACGCCGCGUGAGUGAUGAAGGUCUUCGGAUCGUAAAACUCUGUUAUUAGGGAAGAACAAAUGUGUAAGUAACUAUGCACGUCUUGACGGUACCUAAUCAGAAAGCCACGGCUAACUACGUGCCAGCAGCCGCGGUAAUACGUAGGUGGCAAGCGUUAUCCGGAAUUAUUGGGCGUAAAGCGCGCGUAGGCGGUUUUUUACGUCUGAUGUGAAAGCCCACGGCUCAACCGUGGAGGGUCAUUGGAAACUGGAAAACUUGAGUGCAGAAGAGGAAAGUGGAAGUCCAUGUGUAGCGGUGAAAUGCGCAGAGAUAUGGAGGAACCCCAGUGGCGAAGGCGACUUUCUGGUCUGUAACUGACGCUGAUGUGCGAAAGCGUGGGGAUCAAACAGG